rfam:Tupaia chinensis contig21473, whole genome shotgun sequence.
AACUAUAUGUUAAAGUGUGAUGGUUGGAUUCUCAUGCUGUGUGGCAGAUGUGACCCUCCCAAACCUUAUUACAAUGUUGGCAGAGUGCUCAUCUGACA